rnacentral:rRNA from 1 species
GUGUCAGCCGCCGCGGUAAUACGUAGGAUCCGAGCGUUGUCCGGAAUUACUGGGUGUAAAGGGCGUGUAGGUGGGCUUCUAAGUCGGUGGUGAAAUCCUGCAGCUUAACUGCAGAACUGCCUCCGAUACUGGGAGUCUUGAGUACGGCAGAGGGAGAUGGAAUUCAUGGUGUAGCGGUGAAAUGUGUAGAUAUCAUGAAGAACACCGGUAGCGAAGGCGGUCUCCUGGUCCGUUACUGACACUGAGGCGCGAAAGCGUGGGGAGCAAACAGGAUUAGAUACCCGCGUAGUCC